rnacentral:snRNA from 1 species
CAUCCGGUUGAUGUGUGAAAUUGGAACGAUACAGAAGAUUAGCAAGGCCCCUUUCCAAGGAUGACACGCACAGAUCCAGAAAUGGUCCAAAUUUUU